GGUACCAGGGAAUGAACUCCGGACCUUGCACUUUGGAGCACCAAGCGGAGUCCCCAAUAUAGAACAGGCAGCGAGAGAAAUACGUGUGGGGAGCAUUGAAGAGUGAGUGAAGGAGACCCCACAAGGGAUAGAGGACACGGACAGACAUGAAGGUAGGACAGGGGCGCAGAGGCAAGAGGUGCAUGUGAGGGAGGAGAAGUAAGCAGGCCGCUUGGAAGUCACCUUGAGACAUAAACAAACCAAAUACAGUGUCCAGAGCAGAGGUCCCCAGCCCCAGAUACGGCGACAGCGCCUGCGGGGUGGGUUAGCCGAGCCCGCACUGUGGAGUGACAGUCUCCCCAACGCACUCCGCAUGCAAACCACUCACCACCUUACGCCGCUGCCCGACCGCUUCCAAAACCUCUGGACAACUCCUCUACCAGAAUGUGGAGGCUGGUUUCCACAUCCAGGACGUUCUCCUUCCGCGCUGCUCCCAUCUCUCAUCCAGUCCUGGGAGGGCAAGUCGGUGUGGCGCGUGCGUGGCUCACUGGUGCUCAGAGGAAGUGGAACGAGAAUCUGGUGCUGUGGAUCGGGUGGAACUGCUCUCCCCGAAGAGGAGCGUUCAAGUCCUCAUCUCCCCUACCUGGGAUUGUGACUUGAGAACAGGGCAUUGCAGAUUCGUCCUUCUGAAACCUUGAUUUCUGACUUCUAACCUCUGAGAAAAUAAGUUUCUGUUUGUUCCCCCCCCCCCCCAAGUCUAUGUAAUUUGUAUUGGGAGCUCUAGGAAACUAAUUCAUGUUUUCUGAAGGAAAUUGUCCUCAAGGCUUAGAUAUGACAAAUCAUUUAGGAUACAAAUGAGGAGACCUGGACUCUGUCCACUGUUUGCACUGGAACAGAGCAAACACAAUUUAAAUGCAGUUGUAGAUAGAAUUCUAGACAUAAACUGUGGCACGCCUGUAAUCCCAGCCCUUGGGAGGCUGAGGCAGGGGGAUCUUGAGUUUGAGGCCAGCCUGGGCUACAUGGCAAGAGCCUAUCUCAGAACCCCACCCUCCUCCAAAUCUAGAAACAGCAGACCCUUGUAACACCAGGGUCUAAAAUUAUAAGGUAGAUCUCUAUAUGUAGACAUUCAGACAGCUUGACUAAAUAAGAUAUGCUCAGGGAGAAGUAGGAGGUGGUUUAGGUUGGAAUCUUGUCUAUCUUGAUAGAGCCUGUAGGUAAACAGUGACAAGAAACUCUGUGGAAUCACUGGGAGAAUUAGGACGCUCUGGGAUCUGUCUUCAGACUGUAAGGUUGCCACCAGGCAGAGCAGACCUGGGGGUUUAAAAUGCAUACCUACUUCUUUGAACUGCCUUGCAAAUGCAAGGUCCUGAGUUCGAUACCCAGUACCAAAAAAAAAGAAAAAAAAAGAAUCUUUGUUUUAAUGUUUAGAGGAAGAAGGACAAGAGUACAUGCUUAUUCUUCAUUUGCUAUGGAGUAUUUUAAAUUUGUUUUCCUUUCAUUCCAUCAGUUUAUGACUUCUCAGGUCCAAAGUUACCCUUCAGUACCUGCUUGGUGCUAAGGGGCUGUGCCCUAAGCAUUUCUUCUCUGUGAUGUGAAUGAUGCUCCAUGGUAUGGGUAGAGAGCAACAGCAGAAGUUGCAGGAGGAGAUUCCAGCCUCCCCUUCCUGGUUCUGGUAUAUCGUUGUUUCUCUUUUCCUGCUCUUGCACAGCUCACUGGCAGUGCAGGUCUUUCAGGACAUCUGAUGGCAUCUAACCCACUGUGUCCCCAGACGGGCAGCCCUAAGUGAGCAUGCAGUGACACCCGGGCUGUGUGUCCACCUUCCUGUGAUCAUCCCCAUGUGGAUGCUGCAGGCUCCAGGCUCUGCAAACCCAUUCCCUGGAAGGUUGGUUCUGGCUGGCCAGGGAUGGGGGACCCAUUCUGGCCUGGACAGCCCACUUCUCUGCCAUCCAGCCGGCUGAACCACACCUUUGGAUUCUUCUAACAUUGGAUUUGACCCCCAGGCUUUGGAGGGGGCCUCACUCCCAAGUUUACUUGGGGGGCUACUCCCCCUCACCCUGAAUGUACCCUAGAGUUCUCACUAUUGCUUAUAGUCACACUAUCUUAUCUUUUAAUUCUUUGUAUUAAACUUCCCUUGUUUGAA